GCCGGCAUGGUGAAGAGGCUUAACACAACGGAUUUUCAUUCCGUCAUUUCGCGGGUUCGAAUCCCGUUGCCGGUU
rnacentral:tRNA from 1 species